GGCAACCGAUUGCUUUACCACCUCCCUUUUUGCCACCACAGUCUUUGAUUUUCCAGCUGAGUCUCCUCUGAAAAGAAACCACCUCCUUCUCCUUUGCUUACGAGGUUCCAAAAUUUCCCAAGGAUGAGACGGUCACAUCAACAUCCCUGCUCUGGUCCAGCAAUAGAGACAAGUAAGAGAUGUUCAACACCUCCUGGGAACCCCUCCGAAAGGCCCCCAGAUGUGGAAGUGCCACAGGUCAACUGGUCCUCAGUAUAUUCGCCUGGCAUCCCUUGGGAAGAGAGCCGCGCAGACACCAACACAUCCGUACCCACCCAAAGGAUCUCCUAUUGCUGGAAGAACAGCUGCAAUUUCGGCUGCCUGAUCCUGGCUGCAGGCACAAGGAGAAUGAGGGCAAGGAGUCCCACCAGGCUCACGUGGGCACUGGCAUCGCCUUUCUGCCCAGUGCAGGACGGGUACGAGCAUCCCACAGCCAGGAGCUGGGAGAGGCAGAGGAGGCAGUAGGACCAGGACCCUGGGGCAGGAUGAAGAUGAUGCAGAAGCUGGGGGCACAUCUCACAGUGCUGAGGUAUAUGGAAAAGUCACCCCAAUAUGUCCUGAAGAUGCCACAGAGUCAGCCCAGCCCAACCCAGGAGCCACACAGCUGCAAUUAGCGCUGCACCCCAGCUAAUUAGUUCUGCUAAAAAUGAGGAAAACUAGCAGGGGCUAAUUACUGCACUAAUUUGAUCUGUGAGCUGGAGCUUGGGUCUGGCUGGUGCAGAGCGGAGCACAGCAGCUUGCAGAGGUCUGUGCAAGCAUCACUUUGUUCAAGAGCUUGGAACAGUCCAGCAAAGUCCCUCUGCAGGUCCAUCCUGCCCUCCUGCAGCAGAGCUGUGUGUGCAGAGCUCUGCAGCCCCGCUCUCUGGAUGCCUGCCCUGGCUGCAGGACGCCCUCGGGAGCAACGUUGUCCUAAAGGAUAAAUCCCAGCAGAUGCCAGGAGCUGCUGCUGGUGGGAUUAGUGGGACGGAAGCGUGGGA
rnacentral:lncRNA from 1 species